rnacentral:misc_RNA from 1 species
ACGAGUUCCCCUUACCGGGUAGAAUUCCCACCCUAUGUUAUCAUUAUCUCUGUUGCUUUGGCGGGCCGCCCGGCCUCGGUCAGGCUACCGGCUCCGGCUGGUAAGCGCCCGCCAGAGGACCUCAAACUCUGAAUAUUAGUGUCGUCUGAGUACUAUAUAAUAGUUA